AUUGAACGCUGGCGGCAUGCCUUACACAUGCAAGUCGAACGGUAACAGGUUAAGCUGACGAGUGGCGAACGGGUGAGUAAUAUAUCGGAACGUGCCCAAUCGUGGGGGAUAACGCAGCGAAAGUUGUGCUAAUACCGCAUAAGAUCUACGGAUGAAAGCGGGGGAUCGCAAGACCUCGCGCGAGUGGAGCGGCCGAUAUCAGAUUAGCUAGUUGGUGGGGUAAAGGCCCACCAAGGCGACGAUCUGUAGCUGGUCUGAGAGGACGACCAGCCACACUGGGACUGAGACACGGCCCAGACUCCUACGGGAGGCAGCAGUGGGGAAUUUUGGACAAUGGGCGCAAGCCUGAUCCAGCAAUGCCGCGUGCAGGAUGAAGGCCUCGGGUUGGUAAACUAGCUUUGUUACGGAGCGGAAAAGGACGUCUCUCUAAUACAGAGG
rnacentral:rRNA from 1 species